AAUGAGAGACGAGUAGUUGAAUAUUAAUUCGUGUUAACGUUUAUCAUGUACCAGACAUACCGUGUAUGCCUUACUUGUUUAGAGCCGUUUGCUAACGUUAUCAUUAUCAAUCCAGUUCAAUGGUGGUUCGUCAGCUACCAAACAGAAGUUUGUCUAUGUGUCUGGU